AUCAGACUGUCGGCUGCAUCUUGUUGUGGACAAACCUCCUGCCCAGGUCCCUGCUUUCCUGGUUGGACUCAGUUCGGCUCUCGAUGUUUCAGCUUCAACAUCCAGGGAAAGAGUUGGAUCGAUGCAGAGAACUUCUGCAACUCUGAUG